GACGAACGCUGGCGGCGUGCCUAAUACAUGCAAGUAGAACGCUGAAGGAGGAGCUUGCUUCUCUGGAUGAGUUGCGAACGGGUGAGUAACGCGUAGGUAACCUGCCUGGUAGCGGGGGAUAACUAUUGGAAACGAUAGCUAAUACCGCAUAAGAGUAGAUGUUGCAUGACAUUUGCUUAAAAGGUGCAAUUGCAUCACUACCAGAUGGACCUGCGUUGUAUUAGCUAGUUGGUGGGGUAACGGCUCACCAAGGCGACGAUACAUAGCCGACCUGAGAGGGUGAUCGGCCACACUGGGACUGAGACACGGCCCAGACUCCUACGGGAGGCAGCAGUAGGGAAUCUUCGGCAAUGGACGGAAGUCUGACCGAGCAACGCCGCGUGAGUGAAGAAGGUUUUCGGAUCGUAAAGAUCUGUUGUAAGAGAAGAACGAGUGUGAGAGUGGAAAGUUCACACUGUGACGGUAUCUUACCAGAAAGGGACGGCUAACUACGUG
rnacentral:rRNA from 1 species